AUCUCAUAGACUAUUUUGAAAAUAGGACACAGUGUUGGUUAAGCGGUAUCUUUUCUCUUUAAUUUUCCCAUUCGCACCCCCCGUUGUAACACUAAACGUUAAUAUAUCAUUGGGAUGCUUUUAUUUCUUCAAAAAUCAAGGGGUAUACCUUUCGUUUUGUUCCAGUUUUCAGUGACUUUCCUCAAAAGUAUAGAAAAUAUAAUGCAAUUCUAUUCUUUAUUUUUCCUGCAGCUCUGUUGUUACUGAAAAGGUCUCGGAUUCCCAUUUUUAAAGCAGACCGACCAUUCAUCUUUUUCCUGAGAGAGCCCAACACAGAAUUUGUCUUCAGUAUUGGGAGAGUUUCCGAUCCCCUAAACUAGCAGAUCUCAGGCGUGUUCUCCACUUUCAUCUAUGCUUUCUUCAUAAAAAGUUGCAUUUCAUUUGGCUAUACCCUUGCAAUUUUAAAAAUGUUCUGCUAAAGUAUAAAAAGGUAAGGGUAUGUGACUUUCAAAUAUCAUGAACCUAAAAAUACUUCACUUUUACUAUAAUUUUAUAAAUUUAUUUUGCUCUCUCUUCAUCUAAAUGUACUUUAACCUUCUUUUCUACUGGUUAUCCCCAAAGCACUACAAGGCACAGAAGUGAUCUAUGAAUGGUGAGUCAGGCCACAGGGUCACAUCCUCAGUAAGGACACAGGAGGCCAUCUUGGACUGAGAAUGGACAGUGACUAGCGUUCGGUUUUCCUUACGCUGGGUAACUCAGGGAGAACGUGUUUCUUUUUCAUUUAACUUUUAAAUAAACGACAAAUCGAAGUGAGAGAAUAGCA
rnacentral:lncRNA from 1 species